AAUCAACGCUGGCGGCGUGCCUCAGACAUGCAAGUCGAACGCGAAAUUUCCCUUCGGGGAGAAAGUAGAGUGGCGCACGGGUGAGUAACACGUAGGUAAUUUGCCUUUGGGUGGGGAAUAACUCAGGGAAACUUGAGCUAAUACCGCAUAAUGCAGCGGCUCGACAUCGAGACAGUUGUUAAAGCGGGGGAUUGGAGCAAUCCGACCUCGCGCCUAAAGAGAAGCCUGCGGCAGAUUAGCUAGUUGGUAAGGUAAUGGCUUACCAAGGCGACGAUCUGUAACCGGCCUGAGAGGGCGGUCGGGUCACACUGACACUGACAUACGGGUCAGACUCCUACGGGAGGCAGCAGUCGGGAAUUUUGGGCAAUGGGCGCAAGCCUGACCCAGCAACGCCGCGUGAAGGAUGAAAUUUUCGGAAUGUAAACUUCGCAAGAACAGGAAGAAUAAGUGUGGGACAAUACCCACAUGAUGACGGUACUGUUUGUAAGCUCCGGCUAACUCCGUGCC
rnacentral:rRNA from 1 species